rnacentral:rRNA from 1 species
AUGUAUAAUAAAUAGCCGCAGAUAAACUGUGCUAAGGUAGCAUAAUAAUUUGCUUUAUAAUUGAAAGAUAGAAUGAAAGGUUAAACAUUUAGAAAAAGUUUACUAUAAACUCACAUAAAACUAAGAAAAAAGUAAAAACUCUUUUUUAAAAAAGCGGGACGACAAGACCCUGACAAACUUAUCUUUUAGUUGGGGAAACAAAUUAAUCAUUAUUUAAUCACAACAACACACAAUCUUAAAAUAAACAUAAGAACAGUUACUGCAGGGAUAACAGCGCAAUUACUUUUCAGAGACCUAAUCCAAAAAGUAGAUUACGACCUCGAUGUUGAAUUAAAUUACCUAUUUAAGAGCAAAAUCUUAAUAAGGUGGUCUGUUCGACCAUUAAAAAUUU